rnacentral:lncRNA from 1 species
UAACUCUCACUUUGUAGUGGUAUAUUUAGGAUUUGAUGUGACACAGUUAUUUAUUGCUGAGUGAGCAAACCCCUAGCCCCCAAGUGGGGACUACAGGCUUCAGUGCUUCCCCCACACUGCCUGAGCUACCAGCCCUUCUGCACUGGCCCUCCUGCCAAUACUGCCUGCACUGUCCCCACUCCCUCUGGCUCCCAUGAUCACCAGAUCCGCCCUGCAGGCUCCCUGUCACCUGUGGGGCCCUAUCCAGACCCCCUAAUCCACUUGCCUAGCAGCCCCACUCUUCCCUCGAUGGCUCAGAUCCUGAGAUCCAAGGAACACCCUGGGUUUCCCAACCACUCUCUUACUGCAGAGGUCCUAGGUGCUCCUGGAUCGUGUAGUCUUUAACUGCUGCCCCAAGGGACCUCAAGGAAUAGGAAUUCUCUUUGUUAGGAGGUGGAAUGAAAGUGUCCAGCAAACUCCAGCCAGCAGCGUUCGUCCCUUGAUUUAGAGGGCUAUGAUUUCUACAAAGUGGCCCGACUGGCCCGCGAACACGCAGCAGAGACGCGGCCUCCACAAGGUCAGAACUAAGAUGUCCUCAGAGAUCCCCAGUUACGAAGCAAAGCGCGGGCCUACUUCGGGACCUACGCGUCCGGGCGCUGUGCGCGGGGACCGCUCCCGGGCCCAGCGUCGGGGCCGCGGCCUUGGGGAGCCGCCGGGAGCCGCGAAGCCCGGAAGCAGCUGCACCAGGACUGGAAGGACCCGCGGGGGCGGUGCCGCAGCUCAUGGGGCGGACCCUGCGAAUAGACCGCCCCCGUAUACCCCGCGCUGUCUGUGCGCGCCGGACCGCCAAACCGAGAUUAGCAAGGACCAGGACCUUAAUAUAAACCCAGCUCCCCAUUUUCCCGGGUUUCUCAUGCUUCCCUAAACUCGGUCGCCCCCUACAGCCCCCUGCCCCUGGGUUCUUUUCCACAUCCCCCACCACUCCUCCAUUUCGCAUCCAAGACUUCAUGAAAGGCUUUCCCAGAAAAGAAAAAAUGAGGAGUCUUGCGACUUGAACAGCCCUCCCCUGCCCGUCUGCAAAUUUGAAUUCCUGGAUUUCACAACAGUGAGCUCUUCUUGUGCCUACCACCCGGCAUGAGCAAGACAAGGGGGUGGGUGGUGGGAGAGUGGGGAAGUGUGGGAAAGAAAAGUGUAGACAAAUGGGUGGAACAAAGAAGUUUAAAGUUUAGAUUUGGGGGCUAGAGUUCUGGUCCCAGUUCAACUAAGUGUACAAGCUUGAUAAUCGUGGGCCUUCCUAUCACACUGGCCUCUUCCAGCAAAACCCUACCCAUUCUCAUCUCUAGAGGCCUUGACUUCCCUUAUCACCCUGCAUUAUAAUAUUUGAUAACAUGGGCCGGGAGUGGUGGCUCAUGCCUGCAACCCCAGCACUUUGGGAAGCCGAGGCCGGCGGAUCACCUGAGGUCGGGAGUUCAAGACCAGCUUGGCCAACAUGGAGAAACCCCGUCUCUACUAAAAAUACAAAAUUAGCUGGGCGUGGUGGGGCAUGCCUGUAAUCCCAGCUACUGGGGAGGCUGAGGCAGGAGAAUCCCUUGAACUCGGGGGGCAGAGGUUGUGGUGAGCCGAGAUCAUGCCAUUGCACUCCAGCCUGGGCAAUGAGAGCGAAACUGCAUCUCAAAAAAAAAAGAAAAAAAUUGAUAACAUGGCACUUUCCCUCUCCAGCUGUGAACUCUUUGAGGGUUGGGAAUGUCUUUACCUGUAUUCUUGGCACAUAGUAUAUGGACUUAUGUUUGUGAAAUCAGUGAAUUGGCUGUAGUCAGGGAACUCCUCCUGGGGGAAGUGAGACUUGCACGAAGCUGGGCAAUUCUUGGUCCAGGGGGGUUGAAAGAAUAGGUGGGGGACUCCCAGGAGGGUCUGGGACCUGAAAGUGAACCCAGAUUGGCAGGGAGGUGACCUUAUCAUGCCACCUGGAGAGGCUGCCCCUUCUGACUCAGGUGGGACUUGCAUGUGGCUCCCAGGCUUCUGUUUGGCUUCCUCAAAAUAGCUUCCAGAAAAGUGAAUAAACCACAAAUGGUUGAUU